rnacentral:ncRNA from 1 species
UAAAAGGUAAUGAUAGGAAGAGUAACUUUUAGCUCGAGCAUAGAGAGCCUGCGGUUGGUGUAAGUAGGUGUCGAUUAGAAGGUGAAGAUGGCCCUUGAACCGAAGAUGUGAAUGAUUAGCAUUUUCCGGAUUUGUACACGUUAUCGUACAGUUGAUUGUUGGAUCAACAUGAGGAGAUUAUAGUGAUGUAAUCUUGAAUUAGGGUGGUAACACGAGCUGACUUCGUCCCUUUG